AUCAUGCUAGUCCAAUUUUCUAUGUGGUAAUAACAGGACCAAAAUUUUAAUAUCAUUUCUGAUCAAAUCAAGAGCAGGACAUGUGGAUGGUUCAAAGCUAUACUUCCCUGCUUUGAGCUCCAGUGGAGGUAAACAGGACGGUUAUACAAAAGAUCUCAAAGAGAGCAGCGUUCUCAAGUAUCAUGGUAACACGACUCACCUGUGGCUACUUGCACUGAAGUUGCACUGAUGUGGGACAUUAAAGGUUUAAUGUAGCUCAUCAGCACAGAUAAUCAGCUGUAAGGUGUUUUCAAGAUAUGGUUUUUCUAUAGAAGAUCACUAUGUUCCUUCUACCUGCUUUUAACUAAGACUUGGUAAAUUCAUAAAACUGUUUGUAUCCUACUCGUGCUUCUGAGUGUGUGUAAAUUUACACAUAAGAAGACUAAACCUGAACUUGAUCAACUUCAGAUCAUAUAAUGUGCAUGGAUUACGUAUUUAUACAUCUACUUUGAGAUCUGGAAUAUUCUAUGAAGUUAAAAUGCUGCUUAUACAGUGUUCAGCAGACGCCCUUAUCCAGAGAGACGUCCAGAAGAGCUGUGGAGUCUCGAUCAAAAUCACAUCCUCAUGCUAGUUCACAAGUCAGGGAUUAAGAGCACCAUCGAGAACAUUCAGUGAAAGCCAGUCGCUAUGUCUGCGCAGAGCCGUAAGCUGUAAACAAGUGACUCAGCUGAGGAAGGAAUGCAAAUCUUGGUGGAAGAAAAGAGUUAGAGGGAUGUAUUCCAUCAGACUCAGAAGACUCUUAUCCCCAGUGGGUCUGCAGUGAUGUGGCAGAGGGAGUGGAAGUAUGGCCAGGUCAUGGCGUUUCUUCUACCUCAUUUACAACCAUGAUGGUGAUGCCCUUUGAAAAUCAGUAGGAAUGGACAAGAAAAAAUGGACAAGAAAGAAGCCAAAGCUGUGAUCAAGUAUCUGCAUAAAAAAGAGUGACUCCCAAGGAAAUCUAUGAAGACAUGGUUAACACACUUAGUGAGGACUCCCCUUGCUAUUCAGCUGGAAAGAAGUGGGUUGCUGAUUUCAAGCGGGGCAAGGAAAACACCCAUGGUUGGGACACCCAAAAUCAGCGACCAUGGACGAUCAAGUGGAGGCCAUUUGCCGCAUGGUCAUGAAUGAUAGACAUGUGACUCUUCAACACAUAGCAAAAACCAUGGACAUCAGUGUUGCCUCAUUUCACACUGUUUUGCCUGUCAUCUUGGGGAUGAGCAAACUGUCUGCAAGAUGGGUGCACCGAAUGUUGACACCAGAUCAAAAGCUUAACAGACUGCAAAGUUCAAGGACACUUUUGGCUCAUUUUCAGGCUGAUCCAGCCAAAUUCCUCAGGAGAUUUCUGACCCAGGAUGAGACAUGGGUUCACCACUGUGAUCCCAAAUCAAAGAAUCAAAGCAAACAAUGGAAACAUACCAGUUCUCUGCCUCCCAAAAAGUUCACACAAAUGGCAUUUGUCGGCAAGGUGAUGGCUUCUGUGUUUUAGGACAGUGAGGGACUGCUCAUAAUUGACUUCUUGCAAAAAGGGUCAAACCAUUAAUGGGGACUACUACGCAUCAGAAUUGUGAUAACUGAAAUAAGUAAUCAAAGAAAAAAGAGAGGAAAGCUUCAAGCUGUCAUGCUGUUGCUUCAGGACAAUGCACCCAUCCACACAGCACAGGUGGCAGUGGCAGAAGCAACCAAAUGUGGCUUUGAACUGUUGCCCCAUGGACCUUACUCACCUGACCUGGCACCAUCUGACUUCUAUCUGUUUCCCAAACUGAAAUCCUACUUGCAUGAUCACCAUUUUCAGAGUGAUGAUGAAGUCAUCCAUAGGAAACAACACAUGGCCCUAUCAUGGACUAUUUUGUUAAUUGGUGUCAGGAAGCUAUGUUGGAACUAAAUGUGUCUAAAACCAAGGACAUGUGUAUUGAUUUUAGACACAUCAUCUGCAACCCAACUACAACUAAGAUUAACGGGCAGGACAUUGAAAUUGUUCAUCAAUACAAAUACCUGGGUUCCAUUAUUGAUGACAAAUUGACUUUUACCAGUAACACAGACAUGUUGUGCAAGAAAGGGCAGCAGCGCUUAUACUGUCUCAGGAAGCUGGCAAGGUUUCAUGUUGACAAGUCUUUAAUGACCAUGUUUUAUAGAUCUUUCAUUGAAUCCAUACUUACUUUCUCUGCUAUCUGUUGGUAUGCAUUUCUCAAUGUGAAAAACAAAAAUGCCAUUUCUAAGAUCAUUAAGGUAUGCAGUAAUGUAACUGGUGUUCAACAGAAAAGUAUGACUGCAUUGUAUGAAGAGCAGGUAAUCAGGAAAGCUGAAUCUAUUUUGGAUAAUUACACCCAUCCUCUGCACAGUGAAUUUCAGCUUUUGCCUUCUGGCUCCCGUUUUAAAUAUCCAUUAGCCCGGACCAACAGGUACAAGCACUCUUUUAUACCUUCUGCUGUUCAGCUGCUAAACUCUACUAGGAAACACAGAUAGCCAUAUGCCAGGUUGUGUACUCAUUUUUAGGUAUCUUAACAGUGGGCUUUUCAUUUCCCCACUGCAUCUAUUUCAUUAUUUUAAUUUUUACACUAUGCACCCACUCCUCCAUUGAAUCUUAUUUAUUAUUUUUAACCUUUUGUGUGUUUCUUUACAUUGUCUUGUGGAAGUGUGAGUGUUGUGCGUACGUGUGUACUAUUACUGCAAAACAAUUGCCCAAGCUGGGACAAAUAAAAGCU